AUUGAACGCUGGCGGCAGGCCUAACACAUGCAAGUCGAGCGAGCGGCGGACGGGUGAGUAAUGUCUGGGAAACUGCCUGAUGGAGGGGGAUAACUACUGGAAACGGUAGCUAAUACCGCAUACCAUCAGAUGUGCCCAGAUGGGAUUAGCUAGUAGGUGGGGUAACGGCUCACCUAGGCGACGAUCCCUAGCUGGUCUGAGAGGAUGACCAGCCACACGGUAAGUGAGACACGGUCCAGACUCCUAUGGUAGGCAGCAGUGGGGAAUAUUGCAAAAUGGGGGAAAGCCGGAUGCAGCCAUGCCGCGGGUGUGAAGAAGGCCUUCGGGUUGUAAAGCACUUUCAGCGGGGAGGCGUUACCCGCAGAAGAAGCACCGGCUAACUCCGUGCCAGCAGCCGCGGUAAUUC
rnacentral:rRNA from 1 species